UAUGAACAAUAAAAGAGGAUCCUUGGGCUGCUGAGAUGAUUCAGUGGAUACAGCUGCUUUCUGCCAAGUGGGAUGACCUGAAUAUGAUCCCUGGAACCCACAUGGUGGAAGGAAGAGAACCAACUUCCACAAAGCUGUCCUCUGACUCCACACGUAUUCUGUGACACGCAGACGUGCACCCGCGCACAUGCAUGCAUGCAUGCAGAAGCAAUAAAGGUAAAAUAAAUCAAAAGAUCUUGUUUAAGGUAAACCAGAAGGACCAGCACCUGAGAUGUCCUCUGCCCUUCACACAUGCACCGUCACACACACACCAUGGCACACACGUGCUGUGUCACACAUGCUAACACUCACACAUACACAGGCGUACAUCAUGCACACAUAAAAUUUUGGAAAAAAAAACCCUUGCAACUGCAUUGAAUACGUGCACAUAUCUUUUAUUCUUGUUAUCCUCUAAACAAAACAAUGUAGUAUCUCUCUAGCACUUACAUUGCAUCAGUCACUAUAAGCAAUACAGGGAUAAUUUAUAAUGCAUGGGAGGGUGCUUGCAGAUUAUAUGCAAAUUAGAUGCCAGUAAAUAUGGAGGAGUAACUACAAGCUAGUACACACACACACACACACACACACUCCAUUUCCUUGUGAGUAAAAAAGUGCUUAAUUAGGAUAUGUGAUGUAGACACACUUGGUUUAUAGAUAGAAGAUUCCAGAAGACAUAUUUUAAUAAGGCACCAUGUGUAUGAACUGAAAUAGCAGAUGAAUUCAACUGUGUCCCCUCACUCAUUUGUGUUUUCAAAAUUUGUUUCCAGUGAGAGCCCCUUCUAUAACUAAGAGAAUGCUAUUUUUACAAUGAAUGUUUCACUGCUGUUUGAACGCUGUACUGUAGAAGGCACAGACUGAGAUGCUGGAUCAACUGCGCAUGCCUGUCUUUGUGACCGGCUGCUAUCGAUCCUUCCGAGCCCGUGUGCCACGCUGGAAAGCUGCAUCUAAGAGUUAAGAUUAUUGUGAGAAUUCAAUGUGAACAUCUUUGAAAUGCAGUUUCAAAUCUCCCACACGCUGACAAGAGCCACGUGAACCAUUGUGCAGCACUGCACCCAUUUGACAGAUGAGAGCAUGGAUACCUAACCGGAGCCUGGCAGGUCUUGGACAGCAGAGGCCACCCUGCAUCUGACACCAUCUCUUGUAAUCCAUGACUUCUCUUCCUGCCUCCAUGAAUCUCCAGAUAACAGAUUCCUGCCCUCCUAAAAGAUGGGUAUGUUUACACACUUCUAUUGAAAGUUGAUGCUCACAUAGAAUCAUAGUCAGGCAUUGUAGUGGGCCCAGAAAGGCAGGCAAGGCACAUGCAGGUUUCUCUAGGUUGGUAGCCAUGACGCUUGGGCUUUUCCGGUGUCCUUGACUAGAUCAUUUCCCUCACACCCCAAAAUAAUUUGAGCAGAUGUUUCAUCUCUAUGCAACUAGUCUUAGUGCUACCAUCACCAGCUUUCUUCUGUGGUUUCUCUUGGUCUUUCCUUCUUAACUCUACAAGACCACACCACAUAUUCCUUUCUCCUCACCAGGACAUGGCAGAGUGUCUGUAGUGUUUGGAGGAUUAUGAAAUACAAGGCUUCACAGAAACCCAAGGCCCACAGAUCCUCCAAGCUGUAGCUGAUUGCGCUGGUGCUUUCGUCCAUUUCCGUCCUUUUAUCCUCAUUCACUGAGAGGGAACUGCGGGGGUGGAGGGUGGGGGGAGUGGGGAGGGGGUGUAAGGCUUUGCCUUAGCAGCGUUUGACCACGUGACUUGCUUAGGCCAAUGGACAGAGAGUGGAUCUGGCAGACGCCAUGUCUGGGCACUUCUCGGCGUAGUUACAUGGGUGUUUUCUACUUGACAAGACAAACACCAAAGGGCAGUGUUGGACUGCAGGGGGGACCAGGAGACCUUACUGACUCGUCGGCAAUAAAGUUUGUGUGGUAGGCUUUGAUGACUACUAUGGGCAUCCUCUGUAUGUGUGUGUGGGGGGCGGGGGGAUGUUACUCUGCUUUCAGGGGAGUCUCUGACUUCUUUUUUAUAACUUGUGGUGAAUGGAGCCAGGUCUUCUUGACCCGAUACUGAGGGAUAAAGAGGGACAAAGGAGCUCCAGGAGAUGGCAGAGCGAAGCCAGGGUUCUUGGGAGUCAAGAGAGAUCUUGGGGUAUUGUUCUGGUUGUGGGGAGGAGAGGAUGGUCACUUCUAUCCCAAUGCUUUGCCCCACUGCUGUUGGUGUCCAUGUGGACCCCAGCCAUGCCCAGAAGGAUCCCAAGAAUGAUGACGAUCCAGAGACAGGGGACAAAAGGGAAUUAGGAACGCAGGCCAGGGACAGUUACUAGCAUUGCCUGCAGAGCCUAGGAGUCUACUCAGAGA
rnacentral:lncRNA from 1 species